rnacentral:tRNA from 1 species
GGAUUAUAGCUCAGCGGUAGAGCGCUUGCCUCACACAUGUGAGGCACUGGGUUCAAUCCUCAGUACCA